CUCGUCAGGUCGCCUGCCAACUCCGCGUCCCACACUCAGGGCGCCCAGAGGAACACAUGGUGCGCGGGGCUCCUCGGUACCCUCGCGUGCCGCACGCCCCAUUUCAAAUAAACACCGGGUCCACUUGGCGCGGCGAGACCCGCCAUCUGCACAAACAGAGCAGGCGGAAAGUAAACGCCGCUCUCCUAAACAAAUAAACCUCCACGCCAUUCCCAACGCCCGAGCUCGGCGCGAGACGGGAGCGCGCGAGAGGAGAACAUGCGAUUUAUCCUCGCAAAGGGUAAACACGGCGACAGGCUCUGAAUGUAUGAGGAGAGCCGAGGACUGGAGAGCUUUCACAGAGCAUACAGUCAACGGGAGAGUAAUCAACGGAAAGUAGGCGAAGUCGUUUGGAGAAAUAAAUGAUCAAGUUUUCAGGCAGAAAGCCACAGCUGGCUCCACUUCUAUUAGUCAAACGUCAAAGUCCAAUUUGCUGGUAGAUAACAACCAUAGUAGCCAAGAUAUCCACCGAGAGAAAUAUAUAUUUUAAACGUUUUACAAAAAAUAAAUAAAUAAAGAGAGAAGAAGAAAACCCGUCAGUGUUAAUUUGACAGUGAGUCUGUGCAUCAACCUUAAGUCCAGCAGAGGGCAAUACAGCAUCAAGAUGCCGUUGGACCAGACAGCCUCCAAAAGAGUUUCUGAGGCCUAUUUCAAUAUUUCUGAUUAAACAACCUCAUACACUGUGUGUUCAUGGCCUUGCCUUGCCUUGCCUUGUCUUACCGGAUAUCCAUGAAACUUCAGGAAUCUGAGAUAUAUGAACGUACAGAGAGGACAGAGAAUGAGAUGAUUGGCUAUCUUUGCAUUCCGUCAUGCAAAAGGCAGGGCUGUCACAGAAAGCUGUCCUUUUAGGGACGUAACUGUGGCGGGCAGGAUGGAAUGAGUGGGCGUUAUAGGGUGAUUGUGUCAGAGAAAGCAAGACUGACAGGAGUGACAGCUCCAUUUAUUGGCUGCUAGAUUCUAGUCAGCAAAAGGGCAUUCAGGGCCACUGGCUGGCUCUGCUGGCGGCCUGUGCAGCCGGUGCCUGUAAUGCAUGAAGCCCUGGAGUCAUAGUAAACAGCAUCUCUAGUACUUCAGGAAUUUUAUCCAACAUGGAGGAUGAAGAGAUUUCUCCUGAUCUUAAGGCAGCACUGUUGUCCUUUUAAAUUACGCUUCUCCAUAUGCAUGAGCGGAGGGGGGAGAGAAAAUUGGCACCGGAGGAAAGAAGUGCCAUGGCGGGGAGUCUAAUCAAGUGACAGACUGCUGAGCGGGCUCAAAACACUAGCUGUCCAUCAGAGAUAGACCAGGAGCGUCACGGUGGAUCGAGCAGGUUGAGUGAGUCACUCGGUUACAACAAAGUUCUCAGAUGGUCUGAACUGAAAUAACUCUGGCCACCAGGAUCGUAGCUUUCAUGCUUGUUUAAUUACCGUCAUAAGAGAAGGUGCAAGUUCUCUUUCAUCCAGCAUGUAAGUGCCUCUUUCUUAAUGUCCGCAACAAAGUAAUUCUUAAGUCAGUGCUAUUUGUGUCUCCUAACACUGAGCCUCUUUGUGUGCAUGUAGUCAAAACAUCACAUUAUUGGUACUGAGAUCCAUUUCGUCAAUCCAUCCACUGGUGGACAGCACCGAAUAGGUCUAAACAGGAUCCUAACACUUUGUGAACCUAUAAAUCUUAUUUUAAAUGCAUGUGAUUAAACCACAUUUGUAAUAUUAGCACUUUUUAAUGCGCCCAGACUGCAGUGAAGCACCACCUACUCACCUGUCAAUCAUCAUCCACUACUACACAGGUUUUAAAAGAAAUUAACCUUAACCUUAUUUAAUACAGGUAAACUGAGACUAACUGAGAUUUAAGCAUUUUAUUAGCAGGAGAGACAUGAUCUGUCUUGUCUGAGCACUUGUGAUCGGGUCAAACAAGGGGUCAUUUAAACUGACCCAUAUUCACAGUGCAUAUAACCAGAAUACAGAUGGUACUGGUGCACAUGACACUAUUUGAUUGACCUUUUGUGAUCUCCAGCCUGCUUUAAUGAGUUACAGGAUCCACUUUGUUCCAGCCCAGAGCCGUUUCCUCUCUUUCACAAGCUCAGGUGCUUCUGGAUGCACUUAAUGCUCACUGUACGUCACCUGGGAAUGCUUGGGGUCAAACCCUGCCUGACCUCACUGGUAUCUGUGCUCACACCGCCAAAAAAAGAAAGAACAAUGCCUGGAUUUAAUUAUGUGACUGUCUUUCAGCAAGAGACGGCGAAGAGGAGAAAAUGGAGAGAACUAAAUGAAGAGGACAUCUCAUCUUGCAAUGCUGACUAUGUUAAGUUCAAAACAAAGGCUUUUGAGGUUGACAAGCCCCUUGAGAUGCAACAAGGGAAGCAGAUUUUACUAUGGAGGUGCUUGGAAGCCUCCAAUCACGUUCAAGGGCGGAGCUUAUCGCCAUGGUGUUGAGUAUGCAGAUGGAGAUUGAUUGCCUCCAAGAACAAAUCAGAAGCCUUGCAGCUUGUGGGAGGCUGGCUCAGACACUUGAAGAGCUGAUCGAGAAGAGUGAUAGAUGGCUGUGUGGCAUCCAUGAAGCUGCAGCUCCCAGCUCUCUCCAAGGGAGCUCGAGAGAAGCAGGCCACCCAGUCACACUUCUCCUCCAAGGCUGCUUCCUGGAAGAACAGCUGAAUGUGCAAGUUCAGAGCAGGAGGGGUGUGGUCAGAAUGAGGUCACACAAACAAUGCCUCAAAGGAAUGGACCGCCUCCCAAACAAAAAGUUAUCCCUGCUGAUCUCCUGGAGCGCUGCAACACAGGGAGCACUGCUCAGAAACUCACAGAUGAGCUGCUUCGCUGCCUCAAUGACAGAGACCGUCUGGCCACUCACUCAAUCACAGGCAUCGUCAACAGCAAGCGAGGGAUGCCUGAGCCAGCUCGUCCUGCACAUGAGAGCCAGGCCGUUCUGAGGACAGUGCAGCAGUUCUUCCCUGGAAAGAUCGAUUCAGAAAUAAAGGGCUACAUAUGACCGAAGCUUCAGAAUGAGGCCAAGAGACUCCGGAAAAGGCCACAUCCAGCUGAUGAUCCAUUGACAGAUGCGUGCAGGAUCCCGAAGGCCAACGGCUGUGUGAGUAAAUUAACCCCGCACUCACCAGCUGUAUCACCCCUUUCUGGGGAAAAAAACACAUCACUGAACACAUGGCACAAAGGACGGCGUGGGAACUGCAUAUGAUACAUAAUCAAUAGGCCUUAUCGCGCACGCACAACCAGAACUGCAGACACACCAGCAUUGGGCUAGACCAUUAUCAGUGAUACAUGACCCUAAUCCAUUUAUGUGUCAAUGGUACAACAGAUUGGGGUUCAGGAAGAACAGCAGCGUCGCACUAGGGACGAUAUCUUCACCGAUCCAGCCAUCUUACAGUCUCUGCCUGUACUUCCACUCAUCAGAUCAGCUAACAGCAAAUCAAUGGGCGUCUUUUUUUUCUGCAGGUUCAGACAUCCUCAUUGUGUGUAUGUGUAAAUCACUUUGACCUUGCCACCAGGAUGGAGGUCUCUCCCAGAAUGUUUUCUUUCAUCCAAUGUUUUAACGUUGUGAGGAAGCAAAUAUUUCAAACGGUGUUACGGCGCAGCCAUUUGAUCUCUGAAGGCUCCGGUUGAUUUACGAAUAAGAGAAGUGCUUCAGCUGUAUUCGCCAAUAUUUUUCGCUGCGCAGUCAAAGAAAACUUCAAAGUUGAAAGUUGGAGCGUUAAAGAGUCCUCCGGGCUCGCAUCCUUCUCUGAAGAGGCCAAGGCAAACACGGGCCUCGGCCCACCGCGGGGAUCUCGCUGAACCUGGGUUAAAGCAGCAGGGAGGACAACCGAAAUUAAACGUUUGCAGAACGCAGGAGAAGCGCCUCCUCCUUUAGGCCCAUGCAUUUCCCGCAGAGCUGUAAUAUGUCAUCCGGGCAGCCACUUCGGUGGAGGACAUAUCCCACAAUGCCCUGCAAGGCAGGGUGCCACGGUACCCGUUGCGGCUCACUAACAUGCCUCUUUGUGCCAUCUUAACUUUUCAUUUGUCUUCCUCUACCUGUCAAGGGGAGAAAAAAUUGUUUGGAGGAAACAAUCCUCCCGACAGAAUCAUGAUCUAUCAGUUGUACCUCUGUGCCGUCACAUCACAUUGCACUUUUAUUCAAUGUUCCUCAAGCAUUUUAGAUGAUUAAAAAAGUCAAAUUCAGUCAUCUUAAUCCAGGUCAUGAAAUAUUUAUUUUUCUUUCAGAGAUUAGACAUCCACAAAUACUUUAAAUGUAGAUUUUUUGCUUUGCUUUUUGUUUGGAUGUAUGUGUAUAAGCCCAAACCACUUUUUUAUUCUUUUGUUUUCUAUGUAUUAUAUAAUAUGCAGCAACUUUUUUUUUUUUUUGGAUCAGAUUUGAUCAGAUUUCGUGUAUGUAUAAUAGCUCAAAUUACUUUUUUUUCACAUAUUUUUUAAAAAAAUGUUUUGAAUGUAUAAGCUCAACCCCCCCCCCCCCUCCCUCCCCCCUUUUUAGUUUCCUUUUGAUUUUCUUUGUUUUGUUUGGAUCUCUUAUUAUGUGUUAUAUAAGCCCAAACCGUUUUUUUUUUCUUACUUGUCUUUGCCAAUUUUUUUUAAUCUUGCAUCUUUGUAAUACAAUAUCAAACAAUCAUGCCCUUCUGUUUUGACUUUGUAUAUGUGCAAUAAAAGUCUAAACAGACUUUUGUUUUGUUUUAGCUUUUUGUUGCAUUGCUAUAGUUUUUGUUCUGUUUGAAUCUUUGUGUAUA